rnacentral:rRNA from 1 species
AGCGAACGUUAGCGGCGGGCUUAACACAUGCAAGUCGAGCGAGAGAGUGACUUCGGUCAUGAGUAAAGCGGCAGACGGGUGAGGAACACGUAGGUAAUUUUCCGUUUAGUGGGGGACAACGGUCCGAAAGGACCGCUAAUACCGCAUACGUUCCUUGGGGCUUUGGCCCUGGGGAGGAAAGCUGGGCAACUGGCGCUAAAUGAGAAGCCUGCGUCGCAUCAGCUAGUUGGUGGGGUAAUGGCCUACCAAGGCGAAGACGCGUAGCUGGUCUGAGAGGAUGAUCAGCCACACUGG